rnacentral:misc_RNA from 1 species
CAUCGUCUUUUUCACCUCAAUGGCCUUGAUCACAUUCCUUUUGCACAAUCUUCCAAUCCUUCCAUGGCUACUAAUCUCAGUAUCUUCUACAAUUGGGGCUUACAUGUGUGCGAUUAUAGCCAACUCUCCUCCUGACGUUGUGCCAGUACUCUUGAUUGGAACUUCCAUCUUUCUAGCUGCUUUCUUGCAUUGCGUGGCUCCGCAGCGCAAGUCAUUUAAUAAUCUCCAGUGGGUUUGCUCCAGAAUCCACAUAACAUAGAAAUCCAUUGCCAUAUCUGCACAAGCUGCAUGUGCAUGCUAAUAAACGUUAAUUAAAAGAAAUAAAACAAGAGUGACUCUAAGUCAGAGCAGUGUGUUUUGGCUUGUUCACUGUUGUUGGUAAGCUUGUCAUGCUUUUCAAUUUUAUUAUGUUUU